UGCUUGAGCACAGUGUCAUCAUCCGUGGCC
rnacentral:piRNA from 1 species